ensembl:lncRNA LINC02101 long intergenic non-protein coding RNA 2101
AGUUUCAGAAAUGCUGGAACAUACCCUCGAAGCAACCACUGAAGCCCUUCCAGCAGAGGAACCGCAGAACUCAAAAAUCCUAGCUGUAGGUUGGGUCCACACUACUAGGGAGACCUCCAGCCCAGAAAGCAGCUUGGCGAUAAGACGGAAGAAUGAAGGAGCUCCAGUUUUGAAGCAGGGUUGUUUUUUGUUUGUUUGUUUGUUUUUAUUUUUAUUUUUUUCCUCCCUUUAGAGUAGAGAGAUUAGGGCUGAGCAGCUUGGACAUUGGACCAGAUGGAAAGACUAGCUGACCUGGGUAUUAAUGCUGGAUAUAGCAACGUCCUUCUAUGUCCUUCUAAAUUUUCUUCAUGAGUAGUGAUAAGUUAUGCUGAGAAAAAUUCUUGAACCUACAGUUAUACAACAUUGUUCUUGCCGCCUUUCAAAAAUGGACAAUGUCUCCCAUAUGGAAUAUCUACUGAUGAUCUUGCAAGAAGGUGAAUAAAAAAUCCAAUGAAGACAUAAAACGAGUUUCAUUUAAAAAAUCUGGUAAAAUGGAAGUUUGCUUUACACAAACAGUAAAGAAGCCUUGGAAGAUAAUGUUGACUUCCCAUGCUCAAAAGUACUCUGACUCAGGAAGAUAGCUCCAGCCCUUCAAAGGAAGGGCUGUCUGCAAUAAAUGCCCAUGGAGACCUCUCAGCAAUUCCAUAAGAUAAGUGAAUUGGCUUAAAUCAAAUGUUUUGCAGUUCCAUUUACAGAGCAUUUACUGGCCAUCGUGUACUACUCAAGUUACUAGAACACUAAGUUGACUCAUGCUUGGAAAUACUGGUUUUAUGUUGCUAUCAGAGUAUUGUCAUAAAUCCACCCACAAUUACAAAGAGUCCUACUCUGCUGCUGUAGCUACCUUUAACUCCUUGCCCUCAGCAAAUUGUAUGCCUAGGGAGAUGGACUACUUCGGCCUUGAGAAAUUUCCAAUUAGGUCAUUUUGAGAAGCAGUCUGGAUGUGUGGUCUGAAAUAGCAUUUCCAGUUUUUGCCUAUUUUUAUUUUUGAGAACUGCUUGCAAAUAAAUGCCACUGAGUUUGUUAGGAA